rnacentral:lncRNA from 1 species
AGCAUCUUCGGCUAAAGGGCCAGGAGGCUGAGUCACUCGUCUGUAGUCUCAUGGGGUAAGUGGGACUGCAUGCUGACCCUGUCCAAUUCAGGACCAGCUAGGAUCCUUUCCAGCACUGGACACUUCUGCCAGCACCAGUAGGCCACUGCCCCCAGGUCAAGGAGACCCAGGAUGAGCCGCCCCGCAAGUUGCAGGCAUGACGCGCAUUCUGUGGCUGCCAAGGAAAACGGCCUGGACACAUGGCCCAGAUCAAGGUUGUUCUCCAGAGGGCCUGGAAUGGGGGUCGGCGUGCAUCUGCUGAGGAGUGUUCUUGGCACUGGGACUGGAGACGGACGGGGAGUGGGGCCAGCGAUCCGGCUUCCUUGGAGGAAGUUUGCAGAAUGUGGACAGAGCUGAAUUUCCUUCUGUGCGCCGAGCAGAAAGAGCUCUUGACAAGGAGGCUCCUGGUGAAGAGGCUCCUGUUCAGUUCCUGCAGCGUCCUGGGCAGCUGGGAGCCCCGGCCCCCAGACACCAGCCACUGAAGGCUGAGUAGUUGAAUUUGAGGACAGUGGAGCACCAAGUUUGAAGAGGUUUUUCCCCCAUCACGACCUGAGGCAGAAUGUGAAACUCAACUCGCUAGGGAAUAAGAGAAGCGCCAUCUGAUAAAGCCAGGCUGCGUGUGUGUUCGUUGCUCAGUCGUGUCCAACUCUUUGCGACCCCAUGAACUGCAGCUCGCCNNNNNNNNNNNNNNNNNNNNNNNNNNNNNNNNNNNNNNNNNNNNNNNNNNNCAUUCCCUUCUCCAGGAGAUCUUCCCAACCCAGGGAUCAGACCCAGGUCUUUUUCAUUACAGGCAGAUUCUUUACCGUCUGAGCCACCAGGGAAGACGGAGUCAGGCUGGGGUGCUACUAAUUAGGAGAGUUAGGUCCAGCUUCAACCCUCCAAUUGAGAAGAUUUAGGACUUCAAUCGGGAUGGUCCCGAGAAAGAGGUAGAAUUCACAAUAGGAUGAGGCCUGGCUGAAGAAGGAAAGAUGGGGAGCACGUUGGUGUCCUGGGGUGGCCGUAACAGAGUCCCAGGUUGGGCAACUUUAAAUAGCAGAAAUGUGUCCUCUCAAGGUUCUGGGAGCCAGACGUUCAAGAUUAAGGCACUGGCAGGGCCGUGCUCCCUCUGAAGGCUCCAGGCAGGAAUCUGCUCCACGCUUCCCCCUUGGCUUCCGUGUGGCCAGCAGUCCUAGGCCCACGGUCACGUGAGGCUGUCCUGCACACCCUCCUCGCUCACACUCUCUAUGCGUGUGUCUGUAUCUCUCCCACUAUCAUUAUGACACCAGUCUUAUUGGAUGAAGGGCC